rnacentral:rRNA from 1 species
GCAUAUCAAUAAGCGGAGGAAAAGAAAAUAACAAUGAUUCCCCUAGUAACUGCGAGUGAAGAGGGACAAGCUCAAAUUUUAAAUCUAUCGGGUUUUACCUGAUCGAGUUGUAAUUUGAAGAAGCGUUUUCUGCGUAUUUGGUCAGCCUAAGUCCUAUUGAAUGAGGCAUCAUGGAGGGUGAUAAUCCCGUCCGGUUGAUCAUUUGCGUUUUACGAUACGCUUUCUAAGAGUCAAGUUGUUUGGGAUUGCAGCUUAAAAUGGGAGGUAAAUUUCUCCUAAGGCUAAAUAACGGCGAGAGACCGAUAGCGAACAAGUACCGUGAGGGAAAGAUGAAAAGAACUUUGAAAAGAGAGUUAAACAGUACGUGAAAUUGUUGAAAGGGAAACGAUUGAAGCCAGUCGUACCUUCGGGUAAUCAGCCUUUCGGGUGCGAUUCUGUGGAGUUUGAGGAGCUUUAACACCUUCAUGCUUUGCAUAUUCGUGCUCUUGGGUGUACUUGCCCGUGUGGUUGGUUAACAUCAAUUUCGGGCACCAUAAAAUGGCUGGAGGAAUGUAGCUUCGAUCUUGUAUUGAAGUGUUAUAGCCUUCGGUAGAUGUGGUGAUCGAGAUUGAGGAUUGCAACGGAUACCUUUCGGGGCUACCUGUCUGAUCUCUGAUCGUUGCUUUGGUGCUGAAAGCGUGCUUAUAGUUAUCAAAGUCGAUGGUUAAUAGGUUAGAAUGGGUUAAAUUCGUUAAGGAUGUUGACGUAAUGGCUUUAAACGAC